CACGUAGGGUGCGAGCGUUGUCCGGAAUUAUUGGGCGUAAAGAGCUCGUAGGCGGUCUGUCGCGUCGGAUGUGAAAACUCGGGGCUCAACCCCGGGCCUGCAUUCGAUACGGGCAGACUAGAGUACGGCAGGGGAGACUGGAAUUCCUGGUGUAGCGGUGAAAUGCGCAGAUAUCAGGAGGAACACCGGUGGCGAAGGCGGGUCUCUGGGCCGAAACUGACGCUGAGGAGCGAAAGCGUGGGGAGCAAACAGG
rnacentral:rRNA from 1 species